AAGUGCUAGUUGAAUAAGCUGGCACCUUGACGGUACCUAACCAGAAAGCCACGGCUAACUACGUGCCAGCAGCCGCGGUAAUACGUAGGUGGCAAGCGUUAUCCGGAAUUAUUGGGCGUAAAGCGCGCGCAGGUGGUUUCUUAAGUCUGAUGUGAAAGCCCACGGCUCAACCGUGGAGGGUCAUUGGAAACUGGGAGACUUGAGUGCAGAAGAGGAAAGUGGAAUUCCAUGUGUAGCGGUGAAAUGCGUAGAGAUAUGGAGGAACACCAGUGGCGAAGGCGACUUUCUGGUCUGUAACUGACACUGAGGCGCGAAAGCGUGGGGAGCAAACAGGAUUAGAUACCCUGGUAGUCCACGCCGUAAACGAUGAGUGCU
rnacentral:rRNA from 1 species